AACCGUGUACGUACAAGCAGUGGGAGCACCCUUUGGGGUGUGACUGCGUACCUUUUGUAUAAUGGGUCAGCGACUUAUAUUCUGUAGCAAGGUUAACCGUAUAGGGGAGCCGGAGGGAAACCGAGUCUUAACCGGGCGUUAAGUUGCAGGGUAUAGACCCGAAACCCGGUGAUCUAGCCAUGGGCAGGUUGAAGGUUGGGUAACACUAACUGGAGGACCGAACCGACUAAUGUUGAAAAAUUAGCGGAUGACCUGUGGCUGGGGGUGAAAGGCCAAUCAAACCGGGAGAUAGCUGGUUCUCCCCGAAAGCUAUUUAGGUAGCGCCUCGUGAAUUCAUCUCCGGGGGUAGAGCACUGUUUCGGCUAGGGGGCCAUCCCGGCUUACCAACCCGAUGCAAACUGCGAAUACCGGAGAAUGUUAUCACGGGAGACACACGGCGGGUGCUAACGUCCGUCGUGAAGAGGGAAACAACCCAGACCGCCAGCUAAGGUCCCAAAGUCAUGGUUAAGUGGGAAACGAUGUGGGAAGGCCCAGACAGCCAGGAUGUUGGCUUAGAAGCAGCCAUCAUUUAAAGAAAGCGUAAUAGCUCACUGGUCGAGUCGGCCUGCGCGGAAGAUGUAACGGGGCUAAACCAUGCACCGAAGCUGCGGCAGCGACGCUGAUGCGUUGUUGGGUAGGGGAGCGUUCUGUAAGCCUGCGAAGGUGGCCUGUGAGGGUUGCUGGAGGUAUCAGAAGUGCGAAUGCUGACAUAAGUAACGAUAAAGCGGGUGAAAAGCCCGCUCGCCGGAAGACCAAGGGUUCCUGUCCAACGUUAAUCGGGGCAGGGUGAGUCGACCCCUAAGGCGAGGCCGAAAGGCGUAGUCGAUGGGAAACGGGUUAAUAUUCCCGUACUUGGUGUUACUGCGAAGGGGGGACGGAGAAGGCUAUGUUGGCCGGGCGACGGUUGUCCCGGUUUAAGCGUGUAGGUGUGUGUUCCAGGUAAAUCCGGUUCACUUUAACACUGAGGCGUGAUGACGAGGCACUACGGUGCUGAAGCAACAAAUGCCCUGCUUCCAGGAAAAGCCUCUAAGCAUCAGGUAACAUCAAAUCGUACCCCAAACCGACACAGGUGGUCAGGUAGAGAAUACCAAGGCGCUUGAGAGAACUCGGGUGAAGGAACUAGGCAAAAUGGUGCCGUAACUUCGGGAGAAGGCACGCUGACACGUAGGUGAAGUGAUUUACUCAUGGAGCUGAAGUCAGUCGAAGAUACCAGCUGGCUGCAACUGUUUAUUAAAAACACAGCACUGUGCAAACACGAAAGUGGACGUAUACGGUGUGACGCCUGCCCGGUGCCGGAAGGUUAAUUGAUGGGGUCAGCGCAAGCGAAGCUCCUGAUCGAAGCCCCGGUAAACGGCGGCCGUAACUAUAACGGUCCUAAGGUAGCGAAAUUCCUUGUCGGGUAAGUUCCGACCUGCACGAAUGGCGUAAUGAUGGCCAGGCUGUCUCCACCCGAGACUCAGUGAAAUUGAACUCGCUGUGAAGAUGCAGUGUACCCGCGGCAAGACGGAAAGACCCCGUGAACCUUUACUAUAGCUUGACACUGAACAUUGAGCCUUGAUGUGUAGGAUAGGUGGGAGGCUUUGAAGUGUGGACGCCAGUCUGCAUGGAGCCGACCUUGAAAUACCACCCUUUAAUGUUUGAUGUUCUAACGUGGACCCGUGAUCCGGGUUGCGGACAGUGUCUGGUGGGUAGUUUGACUGGGGCGGUCUCCUCCUAAAGAGUAACGGAGGAGCACGAAGGUUGGCUAAUCCUGGUCGGACAUCAGGAGGUUAGUGCAAUGGCAUAAGCCAGCUUGACUGCGAGCGUGACGGCGCGAGCAGGUGCGAAAGCAGGUCAUAGUGAUCCGGUGGUUCUGAAUGGAAGGGCCAUCGCUCAACGGAUAAAAGGUACUCCGGGGAUAACAGGCUGAUACCGCCCAAGAGUUCAUAUCGACGGCGGUGUUUGGCACCUCGAUGUCGGCUCAUCACAUCCUGGGGCUGAAGUAGGUCCCAAGGGUAUGGCUGUUCGCCAUUUAAAGUGGUACGCGAGCUGGGUUUAGAACGUCGUGAGACAGUUCGGUCCCUAUCUGCCGUGGGCGCUGGAGAACUGAGGGGGGCUGCUCCUAGUACGAGAGGACCGGAGUGGACGCAUCACUGGUGUUCGGGUUGUCAUGCCAAUGGCACUGCCCGGUAGCUAAAUGCGGAAGAGAUAAGUGCUGAAAGCAUCUAAGCACGAAACUUGCCCCGA
rnacentral:rRNA from 1 species